rnacentral:lncRNA from 1 species
AGACACACAGGGUGGUUAAGAACAACAAACACAGGUCAGGCAAACCACUUCAAUAGAACAUGGCUGGCGGCCAUAUGGACAUAUAUGAAUCCAACAAUUAAUUCAGCAAAGAAAGCUGCUUGUGGCAAGUUUUGAAUGUGCCAUUCCAGGUAGUGCUUUGAUGAUAAAUGAGGACAAGAUUGCAAAGAAAAUGACAGCAACAUUUAUAAAAGG